rnacentral:tRNA from 1 species
GCGGGAAUAGCUCAGGAGUAGAGCACAACCUUACCAAGGUUGGGGUCGCGGGUUCGAAUCUCGUUUCCCGUU